GUUCACUGUUUGAUCCAGCUGGACUAAGCUGACAGAGUCAGCUUUAAGGUAUAAAAUGACUGGGCUUUCCAGCUCCCGUGUGUGCCAGAACAGUGCUGCUACUGGUCACCCACAGUCCCGAUGGAUCACCAAGAAGGUCUUUUGGCUGCUAAACAUGGAAUGGGUGCAUCCUGAAGUUCCUGUAAGAGGCUGCACUUUGCUGAGAAUCAGCAGCACUGCUGGAGGAACUGCACCUUGGAUUCUGUCCUUCAGAGGUUGCCAGCCUGGCCAUAUGUCUUCCUUUACAGAGAGUGAUCCUCUAUUUGAAGGGCUGUCCUGUCCAAUUCCAGAAACAUAAAAAGGAGUCAAGCCUCAAAUCUUACUGGAGUCAGAAAAGGAGUGUUUUUUUUUAAUCAACAGAACAAAAAUGUAGUUCUACUUUUGAAGUUCAGUCAUACUUGCUGUAUUAGACACAUGCUGAUCACACUGGCCCUAGCCUAGAGCACUAUUCUCCAGAUCAUGACAUCUGGCCUAAUGUGUGGACUUUUUGUUUCUUUCUUGCUGUCUGUUCCAACAAGCCUGAUUUAAAGUCCUUAAGAAUGCUUGCACAGUCUUUUGCAACAUUUAGUUGA